UGGGAGAAUCAGGAUGUGUGUCUAAUGGC
rnacentral:piRNA from 1 species